rnacentral:snoRNA from 1 species
CUUCACAAAUAUUUGAUGAUGUAGUAUUUCAUAGAUAUGAGUAGAUAUAUGCACAGGAUGAAACAAUGUUGAGCCACUGUAAAUUCAGAUGGAGUCACCAUUUCAUCUCUUCUGCAUGGUGUAGACAUUG